GGCUAGUUGGCCUAGUGGUAUGAUUCUCGCUUUGGGUGUGAGAGGUCCCGGGUUCAAACCCCAGACGAGCCC
rnacentral:tRNA from 1 species